GGGAUAACGCUGGCGGCAUGCUCACACGAUUGCAAGUUGAACGAGCUUAUUCUUAAGCUUAGUAGCGGACGGGCGAGUACGCGUAAGAACCUACCUUUAGAGAGGAAUAACUAUUGGAAACGAUAGCUAAUACCUCAUAAACUGUGGAGUAAAAGGUGAAAGCCGCCUAAAGAUGGGCUUGCGUCUGAUUAGCUUGUUGGUAAUUUAAAAGGUACCAAGGCAACGAUCAGUAGUUGGUCUAAGAGGAUGAUCAACCACACUGGGACUGAGACACGGCCAGACCUCUACGGAGGGCAGCAGUGAGGAAUUUUCCGCAACGGGCGAAAGCCUGACGGAGCAAGCCGCGUGGAGGAUGCAGGCUUGUGAGUCGUAAACUCCUUUUCUUAGCGAAGAAACAAGACGGUACACUAAGGAAUAAGCAUCGGACUAACUCCGUGACCAGCAGGCCGCGGUAAUACGGAGGAUGCAAGCGUUAUUCGGAAUUAUUGGGCGUAAAAGCGUCUGUACGUUGCUUUAUUAAGUCUACUGUUUACAGUGUUAAGGCUUAACCUUUAAACAGAGCGGUAUGAAACUAAAACGCUUGAGUUAGAUAGAAGGUAGAGGGAAUUCUCAGAGUGUUAGUGGUGAAAUGCGUAAGC
rnacentral:rRNA from 1 species